UUAUGUCACCUACAGGGGGUGUGAGAGAAAGAAAUAGCAGAGCUGGACUCCUUCGUGGUGUGGGUACCUGAGAAGGGCUUCAUCUUUUUUUAAACUUUUUCCCCCAGUCCUGGGGAUCGAUGCCAAAACAUGCUAGGCAAGUGAUUUACCACUGAGCCACAGCCCUGGCCCUCACUCUUUAGAGGAGCUGGUUCUAUUAUGCCCAGUGAGCCAGGGGCCACAUGUUGUCAAAAGCAGGAGGGUGGCCUGCCUGCCCCAUGGCAGGGCUCCUAGCCUGGCUCUGACUGCUGAGUUACACAGCCUGAUGAAAGCCCUGAGGAUGGGCUGGGGUCUACUUGUUUCCCAAAUAUCCUCUUUAAGGAUCUGAGGGCCCUACCAGUCACCUGUGAUGAGAAUAGGAACAUCACCUGAGAAGUCCAUUAGUUCCAGCUCCACUGUGUGACCUCAGACAAGUGACUUCACCUUUCUGAGCCUGUUUUCUUGCUGUACAAUGGACACUCACCUCUGAUCAGACUGUCUGUGACCUGGCCAGGAAGCUGGCCAAAGGCAAUACCCACCCAGAUCCUGGAGGCAAGAAGCCAGCAGGCGGGAACAAAGAAUUUUCCAUGGCUCCACAAUUAAUGAGGAACUGACACUCUUCAGGGUUUCAGUUGGUCUUUCACCCUCCUCUCCUUCAUCCCGCCCCAAAUUUCCGACGAGGGUGAUAUUUACUUUGGAAUUCUGCCCAGAACUUCAGGAGCUCAGCAUGGUUGCAGGUGUCUCAGAGAUAAGAAAGUGACUAAGAUGUGCUCAUGUCACCCACGUGUGAAGACUACCACAGUGUGCUCAUCCACUGUGUGCCAGUGUCUUCUAGGCACAAACAUCCUCCUGAGGAUGAUGGAGGGCUUUAACCAAACAGCAAAAAGCAGCACUUAAACCACCUCCAGUUUCACCUGGAUAUUGAUGGCUCCUUGCUUUGGGAAUCAGUCAAGGUCAUGCCUGAAAGAUGAAGGAUGAAGGCUGUCCCCAAAGCCUCCUCAAAAUGACAGUUCAAAAAGAAAUGUCUGCUGUUUCUCUUCGAGCCUAUCUGAUAGAGAAGCUAGAGGAGCAAGAGCCAAGAGGCCAAGGUGCUGCCCUUGGCCCUGGUUCUGACGUCCUGGGUGUCCUUGGGGAACUCUCUGGGCUUCAGACCUCCUUGGGCCACUCUAAGGCCCCUGGUUCAGUCUCAGCAGACUCCUGCUCCAAGGUGAAUCUAGGCCAAGUCGUGUCCCACCCUGCUCCAGCCGCACUGCCACCUCCACCCACUGUUCCCAUGGUGGCGGCCCUGAGUCUCUGUUUACUCAGCUUAUGUGUGUGAUUUUUCCACAACUGGCCAUUGAGAACACAAUGCCAGCUUCCCCUCAAGGAGGAGCGGAGGAGCCCAUGCCUUGGCCAAAUAGCAGAUGUGACUCUGCAGCCAGGGUCAGAGGCUGACAGCAGGCAUCACAGACUGCCCUGGCUCUUGGAUCCUGCUGGGCUGGGGUUCCAUUCCCAGAAACAUGUGUCACCUCCCCUCCACAUCCAGAAGACGCUUUCAAGCCCACACACUGGAAGGAUCUCCGUUGGCUCUCCUAGAGGUGCCCUGGCAGCCUCUGCUCAGCAGUCAGUCCCAGACACAAAGGGUCUGGGACUCUCAGAAGCCACUGUUUCCUGCCUGAGCCGACUCCAAGGCAAGCACAGCCUGGUUGUGCUUGGGUCAAACCAAUCGUGUGGCCUUUGCCCUUGGCUUCCCAGCCCGGCCCAAGAGCAAGCCUGGCACCCCAGCACGGCAUGGAGCCCGAGGUCCACUGCAUUUCCUACUUAUAAACGCAUACAUCCUCAUUGUGAAGCACUAAAUAUGAAAAGAAUUAGAAAAUGUGUCAUUAAACAUCUCUGGAAUCUGCUCCUCCAUUUCCCCAGGCGUGCGAUGCUAUCUGAUAUUUGGCAUGCAGGAUGUUUAGGUACAUUCUGAGGUUUUCCUCCUUGGAUCGUCUCUCUGGGAUCUCAGAGAGGUGAAAGGACUUGUCCACGUUCACACCUAGUUUCGAGUAGACCCAUGCUGUGGUUCAAACAUCUCCCCCAAAGUUCACGUGUUAAAAACUCAAUCUCUGAUGCAAUGGUGCUGAGCGGUGGGAACUUUAAGAAGCAGUUAGGUCAUGAGUAAUGUCAUUAUCCCAGGAGUGUGUUUCCCAUCACGGGAGCGGGUCCUUAUAAAGGGUGAACUUGGCCUCCUUCCCCCGGCUCUCGCCUCCCUCCAUGUUGUGCAGCAGCUCAAGGCCUUCCCAGAGGUAGCUCCUCCUUCUGGGACACCCCAGCCUCCAGAACCAUGAGCCAAACAAAUCCCUCUUCGCUAUAAGUGACUGUAGGUGGGAUUCUGUUAAAGUAGCACAACACAGACGAAGAUGCCCUAAGACUUGAAGCCUGAGAGUCGGGCUUCUGAAUUCAUGAGUUAGAUCACUGCACUAUUUUUCCCAGAAACACUAAAAUCUGUUGUUUUGAGGUAAGGCAUGGGACAAAUAAUUUUUUCAGGAGCUGAGAACUAUCAGCCAGGUGCUCCAAGCCCUGGCACCCUGGGAGGCCAUUAUCCCCCCUGGGCUGUCCAGGGGGCCAGGGGAAGGGCCCUCAGCCCAGACUUCCUCCAUUCUCAUGUCUCCGUCUCAUGCUGACCCCAGCUUCUGUGCCCUUAUCGAGCUGACCCUUGUCCUCUGGUGUGUGGUGGACCCCCAUCCCCAGCCGGCAGCCUGCCUCUCCCUGCCCCUGCUUCCAGUUCCCUCUUCCCUCUCCAUUUAUUUUCUCUCUUGCGUUGUCCUCUUGUCUUGUUGCUAUCCUCACUAUUUCAUUCUUCUACUCUGCCCUUUUUCAUUCUCCCAGAGCCAUAGGCGCAAAUCUCCAUAACCUCAAAUGUGACAAUGGUUUCUUAGAUCACUGAAAGCACAUACAAGAAAAGAAAAACUGGAUAAACCGGACUUCGUCAAAAUGAAAAACAUUUGCGCAUCAAAAGACACUGUUAAUUCCCAGCUGUCCGGUGGCUGAGGCAGGGGAAUCUCAAGUUCAAGGGCAGCUGGGGCAACUUAGACCCUGUUUCAAAAAUUUUUAAAAAAAGCUGAGUGCUCCCUGGGUUCAAGUGGGGGUGGUUGUGGGUGAGACCCUAGUCAGAGGGUGAAAAGAAAACCACAGAAUAGGAGAAAAUGUUUGUUUAAUAUACUUGAAAAAGGUAUAAUUUCCAAAAGUCACCACAGAAAAUAGUCUUUAAAAAUCAGAGCAUACAGGUAGAGAAUGCAAAAUUUACACAAAAUUUAAGCUCCCAUGAGAGACAUUAAGAAGUUUGGAAGCGGAAGCUAAGUGUUUUGGGGGAAUUUGAGUUCAGCAUCUUGCUCUCCUGCUGGCGAGGAAUUUGUGUGGGAGAGUUUACAAAAUCUGCAGGUCCCAUGCAGAUGGAAGGACUCAGAGGCUGGUUUACUGGAUGGGCCUGCUGGGGGCACCACAGGCAAGGCCAGCCACAGGAGGCAAGCCUGGAGAUUCCUGGGCUUGUGCUCUGCCAGGCAGGGACCCACUGCCCAUCAUAGCUGCGUCUCUGGUUCUUGAAUAGCCCCAGCUCCUUGCUCAAAGGAGUUAAGCCUCUGUUGGUUGUGACAGAAACCCAACUCAGGGUAGUUGAGCAAAAAUGGAAAACUUUGCUCACAGGACUGCAAAAUCCAGGGUAGCUGGCCUCAGGUUGGCUGUACUGGAGGGGCAGACAAAGCAUUGGUAGCCUUUAUUCUUACGGUCUAAACAGGAAGGCCCACCUGCACUCCUGGCCCAGGCAUCUUUCUCCCAGAAAUCCCAGCGCUUGUAACAAAAUCCCCAGGGCUGAGCUUAUUAGGUUGACUGGGGUCUUGGGUCCAAGCCUGGACCAAUCACUAUAGCAAGCCAAUGGAACGUCCUGAUUGGCCAAGCCUGUGUCACAUGGUUACUCUUAUAGUGUGAGCAACAGAGAGGGAAAACUUGUGUGGUUCCAGGAAAAUAGUAAGAACAACAGAGGCUCACAUUACAGUGCUCAUAACCACAGGUCGCAUUACACACAGGCCUGCAUUCUCUGCUCAGGACUGAGUGGGCUGUGAAGUUUGGUCAGGGCAGCAGCGAUGACCUGUGGGACUGGGGCCCAGCGCCAUGUGUGACCCAGGCUCCAGGAGGUACCCAGGGUCCAGGCCCUGUGAGAAGCGGGCAACUCUUGUUUGUUCUAAAUUCCCAGUGCUUCUCAGGCAGCCUGGAAAAAAUACAAUUCCCCAGGCAGGAAACCUGCCACAUGUUCCAGCCUGGAGCCCAGAAAGCCAAGCCCUGUGACAAAUUCAAAAACAAAUGAAAAAGCCACCUCUCACAAUAGAACAUUUGAAAAAAACCCCUUUAUUUUCCUUUUUAAAAAUUAUAUUAAGUUUUACACAUUUAUUGGACAGAAAAUUAAAAGUAGAUAAACAGAAAGUGGUUACAUUUACCAUAAGCUCACAACUGGUGAUAACCAACGUUAACAUUUUACUGCAAGUUUUGUCAGAGCUUUCUCUAUAGGUUACAAAUAUAUUUUCUCUUACAUAAAGGGUUGGUGGUUGUUAUUUAUAUCUUGUUUUCUCACUUAGUAAUAUGUGGUGAACACUUUUGCAUAUCAAUAUGUAUACAUGUUGUCUUAGUCCAUUUUCUGCUGCUGUAACAGAACACAUGAGGCUGGAUAAUUUAUAAGAAGAGGCUUAUUUUGGCUUAGGGCUGUAGUCUCUAAAUCCAAGAGGGGCUCCUGCAUCUGGGGAAGGCUUUGUGCUGCUUCAACUCGUGCCAGAAAGCAUAAGGACAAGUGGGCAUAUGUGGAAAAGAGAGACACGAGGGGCAAACUUGCUUUAUAACACCAUGCUUUCACGAUAAUAAUCCAGCCAUGAGAGUGAGGACUCACUCCUGUAAGAUGGCACUAACCCUUUCAUGAGGGUGGAUUCUCCUGAAGGCCCAACCACUUCACAAUGUCAUUAUCUUGGGGAUGUAAUCUCAAAGUGAACUUUGGUGGGGAUCAACCACAUUCAAACCGUAACACCUGUAUAAUACUGUUUUAGUCACCUGCAUAGUACUUCAUCACAUUUAACCAGUGCUCUAAUGUGGGUGUUUGGGGGUCUCCAGGGCCGCAAAGAUACAUCUUAGCAGGUCAUAGAUCAGUGAGAGUGGUGGGUGUGAAGGGCUGGCUACUCUCAGGCUCUGAUCUUGUUGCCAGUGCUGCUAUAGGGAGUGGGCCAGGAGGCUCAGGUUCCCUUCCUGCCAGCCCAGCUGGUGCCUGGAGACCCACACUCAUCCCUGCCUGCUCUCUCCCUCUCCUUCUCCUUCCCACCCCUUUCUGCAUUUCUUUACUCAUACAGGUGAAUAUUUAUCAUCUGCUAUUGGUUAUUUGUAUUUUUUAUUUUGAGAAUUGUCGGUUUCUGUCUCUUGCCCUUUUUUAUUUUUGGUGGGUCAAUCUUUCUUUUCUUUUCUUUUUCUUUUUUGGUACCAGGGAUUGAACUUGGGUCCUUGCACUUGCGCAGCAGGCAGCAAAACCACUGAGCUAAAUCCCUGGCCCAAUCUUUAUUUUAUUGACUUGUUAAGGGCUGCUUAUAGAUUAUGAAAAACCUUUGGUUGUAUAUGUUGUAAAUAUUUUUCCAGUUUGUCAUUUAUCUGUGAUGUUAUGGAGCAUUUAUUUCAAUAAAAGUUUUGAUUGUGAAA